CUCCCGCCCCAGGGCAGCGCCCUGGACCUCCGCCCCGCGUCGGCGGUGCGAGACUAAGUUAAAGACGCUCCUAGGAGAAGAAGCAGGAGGUCGACUUCUGGGUCUGAGCGCUGGAUGCGGCGCGGUGGCCACAAGCAGCUCAGGAAACCGGUAAAGAGCCGCUUCCUGCUGCGGCAUGGGGCAAAGCAGUUAAGAGGCGGGAAAAGCUGCUUCCUGCCGCGACAGCGCAGAUCGUGGGGCAAAUUAGUUAAGAGGCGGGAACUGGGUCUAAAAGACGGGCUCCUUCCUUUCGGCAAGGAGAUAAAAUGGGAAAAUGAGACGCGCGGACACCCAAAAGGGUCCUGCUCCAGGACCGUCUUCAUCUUACCUGACUACUCCACCCGGAACCAGCUUACUCCUGGGCCUCCUCCUGACCUCCUAGCGGCUGCCACCUCCGAAGUCCUUCCACCCACCCACCCAGCCCACUCUUUCUCCAGCUUGUCUCGAACAUCUUGUCUCCUGAGCACCUGUCACCUUGUUCCUGACCCCUCUACUUACCUAGGAGAGCCAGGAGACCAAACAGCAGGGUGA
rnacentral:lncRNA from 1 species